AACCUAGCACACCUGCGGUGUGUACCUGCGGAAGGAUCAUUAACGAAUAUCUAUGGCGUUGGUUGUAGCUGGCUCCUAGGAGCAUUUGUGCACACCCGUCAUUCAUAUCAUCUUUCCACCUGUGAACUAUGUGUAGGCUUGGAUACCUCUCGCUUUGGUGACAAGGCGGACGCAAGGAUUGCUGCGUCGACAAGGCCAGCUCUCUUUGAAUUUCCAGGUCUAUGUCUUUUUACACACUCC
rnacentral:misc_RNA from 1 species